AACAUAUAAUUCAAUUUGGAAUGUAAAUCUAAAUCUAAAUAUAAUAUUUAAUCAAAUGAAAUCUAAUCUAAAUAAUUUAUAGAACACUUAUAUUUUUAUUACAAAAAAAACUGAAUAUAUGUUUACACUUACAAUAUUGAGAAAAAUGUAUGAACAAAGUCUUCUGAACAUAAAUCUUGAAGAAAUCUAUUUAUGAAUUUUAUCUUAUAAUUAAUUUAUAAAAUUGUGAAAAUUAUUUUAAUGGAAAAUCAAUUAAUCAUAUAAAUAUAAAAAAUUAAGAAUCAUGUAAAUUGAAAUUUAAUAAAGCUGAAUAGUCAUAGAAUUGAUGAAAAAUAUAAAUGGAAAUCAUGUUUUUUAUUGGUUAGGAUUUGUUAACAUAUUUUCAGAUAAUAUGUUUGUAUUUUAAAAUUAGUUUUGGAUCAAAUAUGGUUUUAGGCUUAUGCGUAUUUGUUGCUUUUGUUUUUCUUAAACUGUCGAUUUUAUCUAAGGGUUUAUCAAAACAAAAUCGUAUUUUCCAGAAAUUGAAACUAUAAUUGUUAAAAACAAUUUAGAGCAUUCAUUAGGUGGAGGUGUUCAACAUGGGAGAUCAAAAUGUGAAUAAUCUUGUUUUCUUGGAAAAAUAUUGGUUGCAAAAAGAAAGAAAAAACUCAAUCUAUGAUAACUAACUUUUCAUUCCAUAAGUUAUAUCACAUUUUCCCUUUGUCUGCGUGAGAAAAUAGUAAUAUGUAAUCAUUUUAAAUAUUUACAGUAUAUCGAAGUUGUUUGAAAUUAGAGUGAACUCAUGCUUAAUUAUAUGGUUCAAAUAUGCAAAUGUUAUUUUAAGUUUGUUAGCAGUAUUCAUGUAUAUUUAUGUUCAUGUUUCUGAAUUUGAUAUGUUCAAGUAAUCCCUAGAACUUAGGGUUGAGCAUUUUAUCCGUUAAAUUUGAUUCGGUCCAUUAUUUGCUCCGAAUCGAUGUAAAAAAUCUGGAUAUGCGUAAAGUUUCGGAGCAAAGUAAAUAUUAAAAAUCAAUAUCCGUUAAAAACGAAACAAACCACAAAUACAAAAAUUUAAAAAACCGGAUAUCCGCUCCGCUUUGACAACUAUAUACAUAUAUAUAUUAAUUAAAUGUAGAGUUAAAUGUAUGCGUUUAUAUAAUUUUUUAUUUUCACAUUUGAUUUAAUAAAUUAUGUUCACGUGAUUAUACAAGUAUUAAAUUCAAAAAAGAAAAGAAAAAUUUAUAAUAUCUGUUUUCUUACGUUUGUCUUUCUUAUAACUAGUUUUAAAAUUUACAAACAUAUAGUUUUGUUGCUUCUUUUAUCUUUUAUUUUAUUUAUCAUGUAAAAGUAUUUUAAAGAACAAAUUUAUCUUGUUUUUUUCUAGAUUAUUUGAAUUAACUAAAACGUAAGUAUUCGUAAAUAUCCGCAAAUAUCUAUAUAUUUUUCGGAUAUUCGUAUUUUUCGGAACAAACCAAAUAAAAUAAUGAUAUCCGUAACAUAUAAAACAAAAAGCAAUUGUACUCCAUACACCCCAAAAGAUACCCUAUUUGCAAUCUAUACCCUAAAUCCCUCUAUUUUUCUUUCCUCCAUCACUACCAUUUUCCUCCAUUUGUAUGGUAUCCUACUCUUAUAAGUAUAUUGAGUUAAUUAGCUCUAAAACAAAUCAUGAUACCUAUAAAAUUCCAGAUAUCCAGAUCUGUGCCUACUGGAACCAUGUGAGAAGAUGAUGUGGUGAUGAGCUGACAACGACUUUUCAACUUUUUUAAAUAAAUAAAAAAAGAAGAUACAUAACUUUGAGUGAUCUUUUUAUUAUUUUUUAAAGCAAGCUGUCGCAAUUUUAUAAUGUAAGCAUGUAUUUGGUCUCAGGCUCUAUUUUGAAAAUUGAGUAAUUUUUUUUUUUUGUUUUUGUAGUUUUCCACAGGAAAGCAACGUCCGACACACAAUUCAUAAGAUAAAUUAAUUAAAUAUAUAAAACGACCAAAUAUAAAUAAUUACAAAACUAACAAUAUAGUUAAUGUUUUACUUUUUUUAUUUAUAAAAUUUUAUAACUGACUAAACUAAAUAGGAUAAUACUAUAUUUAAAAAUUGUUUUAUAUAAUAUCUAUUAAUAUAAAGAAGAAAUUUAUUCUCUUCUCCUCUUGCCCCCUAAAAAAAUAGGUCAAGGAGAAGCUGACACAUGUUCUCAUCAAAACUCCCAGUAUGGCUUAAUCGUUUCGUAAAAAAAAAGUGGACUUUGUGUUUCUCAUCUCUUUGUUGUUGGUUUCUGUGAUUCACUUCAUCUUUCCUCAGUAAAUAGAUUAAGAUGGCAAGCUCAUCUGUCUUCCUCAUAUUUUGGUGAAGAUUGAUUCUGGUUCGAUGUUGUAAAGAACAUCUAGAUCCAACAAACUUCGAUCUACACCAGCCAUAGUUGUGAUUCUUCCUAUAAAUAUCGACCCGGUUAAAAGAGAUCAACAAACAGUGAACCGAAGUUCUGGUUGGCGGAAAUAAGUUGUGUUGUCCGGAUUCAGGUCCAGAAAGAUGGAUUUAUUGUUGAUUGAUUAAUAUAUUGCAUGUUUUUUUUGUUCUUUCAAGCUAAGACUUCAACGAAAAAGAAGAAGAAAAAUAAGAAUAAAAUCAAGUAAGAAGUGUUUUCGGUCUGUCACUUUUGUUGUUUGCUUUAGUGAUGGUUUCACUUAUGUUUGCUGGAAGAAGACCCAACAGACUGAUCCACCUACAAUCCCUGUCGGUAAGCUUUUUCCAUCUAGAGAGAUUUUGAAGGUGAAAUCCAACAGUAUAAGGACGAUUAACUUUAUCUAAUCAAAUAAAGUACAAUUUAUAAAAUAACAAAAUAUAAGUUCGUUCUCACGGGUUUUGUUUGAUGUUUUAAUUUAAUAAAAACUAUAAGAUAAUAAAUCAAUUUAUUAUAGUAUUAUGAUUGUUUUUUUGCAUAUGUUGUUUGAGAUUUAUUUUAUAACUAAAACUUGUUUUCACACAUAAGUUUAAGUUAAUAUUUGUAUUUUAUAACCAAGGUGCAUAGAAGGGUUGUUAUAAACUUUAUACUACGGAUUAGAGAAAAUACUAUAAAUAAACAUUUAAACGGAACACAAUCCGAAAUAAGAAAUGAAAGUUAAAUACACCAAUAGAAUCAAUAAAAGUUAAAUACAUAUUCUUAUGUACUAAUUUAACGUUUAAUUAAACAAGGCUUUAAAAUUUUAUUUUGCUAUGAUUUUUUAAAAA